UACGGGGGGGGCAAGCGUUGUUCGGAAUUACUGGGCGUAAAGGGCUCGUAGGCGGCCAACUAAGUCAGACGUGAAAUCCCUCGGCUUAACCGGGGAACUGCGUCUGAUACUGGAUGGCUUGAGUUUGGGAGAGGGAUGCGGAAUUCCAGGUGUAGCGGUGAAAUUCGUAGAUAUUCGCAAGAACACCAGUGGCGAAGGCGGCUCACUGGUCCGGUACUGACGCUGAGGUGCGAAAGCGUGGGGAGCAAACAGG
rnacentral:rRNA from 1 species